rnacentral:rRNA from 1 species
UACGAAGGGGGCGAGCGUUGUUCGGAAUUACUGGGCGUAAAGGGCGCGCAGGCGGUCCUUCAAGUCAGAUGUGAAAGCCCCGGGCUCAACCUGGGAACUGCAUUUGAGACUGGAGGACUUGAGGACGGGAGAGGAGAGUGGAAUUCCCAGUGUAGAGGUGAAAUUCGUAGAUAUUCGCAAGAACACCAGUGGCGAAGGCGGCUCACUGGCCCGGUACUGACGCUGAGGUGCGAAAGCGUGGGGAGCAAACAGG